rnacentral:lncRNA from 1 species
GUGUCGCCAUGGUAACGGCGCGGCCUAGCUCAAAGUUAUUCCACUUUACUCCAUAUUUACUCCAUAUUUACUCCAUAUUUACUCCCAAUUAGCCCCAAUUUAACUCCAUUUUACACCAGAUUUACUCCUCAUUUACUUCUCAUUGGCCCCACUUUAAAUCCACUUUACACCAGUUUUACUCCCUGUUUACAAAGGCUUUACUCCACAUUUACUCCAUGUUUACACAGCAUUUACUCCACAUUUACUCCACAUUUACUCCACAUUUACUCCCACUUUACUCCACAUUUACACCUUGUUUCUUCUCAUUGUUCCUUAUUACCACAUUUUAACUCCAUUUUACACCAGAUUUACUCCUCAUUUACUCCUCAUUGGCCCCAUUUUAAAUCCACUUUACACCAGUUUUACUCCCUGUUUACACAGCCUUUACUCCACAUUUACUCCAUGUUUACACAGCCUUUACUCCACAUUUACUCCAUGUUUACACAGGUUUUACUC